rnacentral:tRNA from 1 species
AGCAGCAUGGCCGAGUGGUAAGACGGGGGACUGCAAAUCCUUUUUCCCCAAUUCAAAUCCAGGUGUCGCUU